GGGGGCGUAGUGCUAACGGGAACACGCCGCCUUUGCAAGGCGGAGUUGGGGGUUCGAUUCCCCCCGCCUCCA
rnacentral:tRNA from 6 species